rnacentral:rRNA from 1 species
GGAAUUUUGGGCAAUGGGCGAAAGCCUGACCCAGCAACGCCGCGUGAGGGAUGAAGGCCCUCGGGUCGUAAACCUCUGUCGGGAGGGAAGAACGGUUGCCAUUCGAACAGGUUGGCAGCCUGACGGUACCUCCAAAGGAAGCACCGGCUAACUCCGUGCCAGCAGCCGCGGUAAUACGGAGGGUGCAAGCGUUGUUCGGAAUCAUUGGGCGUAAAGCGCGUGUAGGCGGCUUGGCAAGUCGGUUGUGAAAGCCCGGGGCCCAACCCCGGAACUGCGUCCGAAACUGCCAAGCUAGAGUCCCGGAGAGGAAGGCAGAAUUCCCGGUGUAGGGGUGAAAUCCGUAGAUAUCGGGAGGAAUACCAGUGGCGAAGGCGGCCUUCUGGACGGUGACUGACGCUGAGACGCGAAAGCGUGGGGAGCAAAC